rnacentral:rRNA from 1 species
UACGGGGGGGGUAAGCGUUGUUCGGAAUUACUGGGCGUAAAGGGCUCGUAGGCGGCCAACUAAGUCAGACGUGAAAUCCCUCAGCUUAACUGGGGAACUGCGUCUGAUACUGGAUGGCUUGGAUUUGGGAGAGGGAUGCGGAAUUCCAGGUGUAGCGGUGAAAUGCGUAGAUAUCUGGAGGAACACCGGUGGCGAAGGCGGCAUCCUGGACCGAGAUUGACGCUGAGGAGCGAAAGCUAGGGGAGCAAACGGG